UACUAUAGGGCACACGCCUUCUACUAUAGGGCCCACUCCUUCUACUAUAGGGCCCACUCCUUCAGUUGUAGGGCCCACACCUCCUACUGUAAUGCCUACUCCUUCAGUGGUAGGGCAAACACCAUAUAUUCAUCCCUCUUCUAUCCCCACACCACCUUCUAUACCAUCUCCAGAUGUACAUCAGCCAUCUGCUGAUGCUGCUGAUUCGGCUGAUACUACUGAUUUGNAUGAUCCUGCUCCUCAUGAUCGACCAUUCAUUGAGCCGUGCGGAAAAGGGUAAUACCAUAUAUUCUUCUUAGUCUUGUAUUUUGCAUUAAAUUGUUGAUCUUACUAUGGUUGUACAUUCAUAACUUUCUUACAUUCAUAUUUCAGGUUUCUUCCUUCUAGAGUUGCUUCACA
rnacentral:lncRNA from 1 species